CCCGAGACGCUCAGCUCCAGGAGGGGAGGCGACGCAGACACCAGGCGCACACAGUGACCGCGAGAUGAGAAAGCACCAAGGAGGAAGGACUGAAGGAAGAGGCCCUGCUCUCGGAGGCUGGAAGCUUCAGGAGAACCAGGACCAAGUGAGCCUUGAUCAGGCUCUGUCUUCAGCACCUGGAACAGGGCCUGGCACCCAUUGAGGAGGUGAUCAACAUGUUUGAGAGAGAACCGGGCACAGCCUGGAAGGAAGCUUCCUGCACGGUAUUCACCCUCCUUCCCAGCAGCAGUGCCUCUCCACAGAGCUCAGUGAUGGCAGAUGUCUGUGAAACUCCCAAAACACUAGAAGGGACUGGGGACUGGAUGGGGCUUCACUCACAUUGCAAGAGCACACCAUGAGAGAGGAGGAGAAAGAAGAGACAGGUGGAAUCUCCUCUGCAUCUUCCUCCUUCAGGUCCCACUUUCAUUGAAGGGCCAGAAACAAAGGGCAGAGUAAGACAGGUCCUGUUUCUACCUACAAACCACAACCCCGCGCCUCACCCCCCCCUCCAUUUCUCCCAACUUUUUAAGGUUUUAGGAUGCUGACCUAUGUGAAAAGUAGCUAAUUUAGUGUGAUGCAGUUUAAGGACAGUGGGUGAAGAGGUACCUGCCCCCACUGAGGAGUGUCCCCACCCAUUUCAUGAUCAGAGGUGGUCACUGUCUAGUUCUUACUUAGAACAGAGGAGUGAAGAGUGGUUGCCAGAAAAAAGUUCAGUUUUUGACACACUUGGAAUCAACCAGAAUCAGAUGUCCCAGAGGCAGGAGAAUGGCCUGAGCUGGAGGUUCAGGAGUUACCAGCAUAUGAUGGAAGUGAAUGAGGUCAUCCAAAGAGAGUAUGCACAGUUAAGAGAGGGCCUCUGACAGAACCCGGAGGACACCAGCAUUUCACGUUGUCUUAGCCCAGUCACCCAAAGACCACCAGGGACAAAUCCAUAGUCCAACAAAGUCAGGUUUAUUGACCCAUUGCUAUGAGGAAAACAUGCCAGAAGAACCAUAGGAUGUCCCACAAAAUGCAAAGGAAAAAAGAGAGUUAUUACCAGAUUUGAGCAAGACAUGGAAUUAGGUGAAAUUUAAAUGAAGCAAUAUUCUGACAUCUGAGAGCAAGGCAGAACUAUGUGUAAAGGGGCUGAUACCAGGUCUGGAGCGCUAAGUGGACCCAGGGUCAUGUUUUCUUGGAAACAAUAAAGUUAAGACAGAUGUGGAAUAUUAUGUUCAGAAAUCCCUAUCUAAAUCUCUGCACCCGGGUUGUAAAUCCUGUCUGCUUAGUGAAUUAGUUCCUCCAGGCAAGAGUUUCAUCUUACAUAAUUUCAAACAACAAAGUUUCUGAUAGUCUAUAAUUUUAGAAAACAAAGUUGCUCAGUGUCUACGAAAGGAGUGGGUUGUUAAGAUAUUUUAUAGCUGCAGUAUGUCCUUGGGAAAAACAGUAUGUCCUGUUAAUUUUGCAGCUAGCUUUAUCUGUGUCUGUUAUUCCAGCCUGAUGAACAGUAGGGCAGAUUUUUACAGACCCAACUAAUUUUUAGGUUUUCUAGGGUCAAACAAUGGAGGAGAAAUCUGCAAAGACUAAGAGUAGUGAGUAGGUAGGAGUCAGUCAGUUUCAGGAAGCAGGAGGUGAUUGUUGUUGAACCCUAAGAGGUCUAGUUUACUGUGCUGCUGUGCAAUAGGGUAACCAUUAGCUGCACCUGAUUAUUUAAAUUUAUUAAGUGAUUUUAAAAUAAAUUCAAUAAAAUAAAAAGUUUU